UGCUCUAAGAAGUCCAUAGCUUCAUUUUUGGUUUACAAGACCAAAGUAAUGUUUUAUACUAUUAGGGC
rnacentral:tRNA from 1 species